rnacentral:rRNA from 1 species
UACGUAGGGUGCGAGCGUUAAUCGGAAUUACUGGGCGUAAAGCGUGCGCAGGCGGUCUGUUAAGACAGAUGUGAAAUCCCCCGGGCUUAACCUGGGAACUGCAUUUGUGACUGGCAGGCUAGAGUAUGGCAGAGGGGGGUAGAAUUCCACGUGUAGCAGUGAAAUGCGUAGAGAUGUGGAGGAAUACCGAUGGCGAAGGCAGCCCCCCUGGGCCAAUACUGACGCUCAUGCACGAAAGCGUGGGGAGCAAACAGG